GCCGACGUAGCUCAGUUGGUAGAGCGUCGCAUUCGUAAUGCGCAGGUCGCCGGUUCAACUCCGGCCGUCGGCUC
rnacentral:tRNA from 1 species